CCUACGGGAGGCAGCAGUGGGGAAUAUUGCACAAUGGGGGAAACCCUGAUGCAGCAACGCCGCGUGGAGGAUGACGCAUUUCGGUGUGUAAACUCCUUUUAUAUAGGAAGAUAAUGACGGUACUAUAUGAAUAAGCACCGGCUAACUCCGUGCCAGCAGCCGCGGU
rnacentral:rRNA from 1 species